rnacentral:misc_RNA from 1 species
UCCGGUUUGUCACCGGCAGUCCCAUUAGAGUGCCCUUUCGUAGCAACUAAUGGCAAGGGUUGCGCUCGUUGCGGGACUUAACCCAACAUCUCACGACACGAGCUGACGACAGCCAUGCACCACCUGUAUACCGACCACAAGGGGGGCCGUAUCUCUACGGCUUUCCGGUUUAUGUCAAACCCAGGUAAGGUUCUUCGCGUCGCAUCGAAUUAAGCCGCAUGCUCCGCCGCUUGUGCGGGGCCCCGUCAAUUCCUUUGAGUUUUAGCCUUGCGGCCGUACUCCCCAGGCGGGGUGCUUAAUGCGUUAGCUUCGGCACGGACGGGGUCGAUAUCCGCCCACACCUAGCACCCAACGUUUACGG